rnacentral:rRNA from 1 species
UCUGGCGCCUUCGGUGUCCGAGUUGUAAUUUGAAGAUUGUAACCUUGGGGUUGGCUCUUGUCUAUGUUUCUUGGAACAGGACGUCACAGAGGGUGAGAAUCCCGUGCGAUGAGAUGCCCAAUUCUAUGUAAGGUGCUUUCGAAGAGUCGAGUUGUUUGGGAAUGCAGCUCUAAGUGGGUGGUAAAUUCCAUCUAAAGCUAAAUAUUGGCGAGAGACCGAUAGCGAACAAGUACAGUGAUGGAAAGAUGAAAAGAACUUUGAAAAGAGAGUGAAAAAGUACGUGAAAUUGUUGAAAGGGAAGGGUUUGAGAUCAGACUCGAUAUUUUGUGAGCCUUGCCUUCGUGGCGGGGUGACCCGCAGCUUAUCGGGCCAGCAUCGGUUUGGGCGGUAGGAUAAUGGCGUAGGAAUGUGACUUUACCUCGGUGAAGUGUUAUAGCCUGCGUUGAUGCUGCCUGCCUAGACCG